rnacentral:lncRNA from 1 species
GUCACACGAAGGUCUUCAUGGGAGAAGAGAAGGAAAAGGUCAAAAAUAACUUCCUGCUUAUAUAGUUUUCUCAGUUUCUUUGAUGGCUUAAAAUACUCAGUAUGCCAAGGUGCCAUAUGUUGGGGUAUCAUGUUCUAAGCCCUGACACCUCUGUAACAACUCAGAAUUUCUUCUCCGGGCUUCCUUCAGGAGAUUUUACCCAGUGAGAACAUGUUUAGGACACUUUUCUACAGUGGAAGAAAAGCUUCUGUCUGCAGGUCCAAAGGCACCGUCCUGAGUUGGAAAAAGAUGAAUCAGACCCAGUCCCUCCCUGGAGUUGCUCAGAGGUCUGGAGGAGAAAGGCAUAGAGUAGAGACGGAGUUUCCCCAUGUUGACCAGGCUGGUCUCGAGUUCUUGACCUCAAGUGAUCCACCCGUUUCAGCCUCCCAAAGUGCUGGGAUUACAGGCAUGAGCCACUGUGCCCGCCCAAGGUGGUUAGUCUUUAGAUCUUGUCUACCUGUUAGAAAGGAAACGCAGACUUCCAAACAGCCAG